rnacentral:rRNA from 1 species
AUGCACGCGCACCGGCAGGCCCUCGAGGCGGUGGCGUCGGGGAUCGUCUUCGGGCUCGACUUCAGCCGCCUCAACUCCUCCCGCACCGGCGGCUCGCUCUGCAAGGUCGCUGCCGAGGCCGGCGCCGCUGGGGCCUGCGUCUUCGCCGACCUGUACGACCUCGGGGGCGCGUCCCUGCCGGACCCGCUGGAUGAGGAGGACAGAGCCAAGUGCCUGCACUCCAUCGUGCUCGCCGGCGACGAGUUCCCUCCACGGCCAUGGCCUCGGCCUCCCUUCCCCGACCGCCAAGAUGCCGGCGCGGAGGCUCCUCUCCGCCACCGUCAGGGCCAUGGCGCCGGCUAG